GGGGUUGUGGCUCAGUGGUAGAGUGCUCGCCUAGCACAUGCGAGGCAUUGGGUUCCACCCUCAGUACCA
rnacentral:tRNA from 1 species